GCUGGAGGAAAGAGAGGGAGAGAGAAAGAGACCCACAGAGGGAGAACCAGCAGCUCGUCUCAUUCCGCCGCUUUCUCAGCAUCCGCUGCAGAGAGGAGCGAGCCGCAAAAAAUGUAAAUUUGGAGAGAAUGAGAGGAUAAAAUCCAUUGAUGAGGGAGGAUACUACGGGAAAGAAGACAUAAUCCAGGCUCGCUGGCAUCCACUGUCACAUCUUACAGCUUAGGCGGAGGUGCGUGAAAGUUUCCAUCCUUUAAAGCAGGGAAGGGGGGGGGACACCCUCCUCUUGAUGUGGGGAUGAACAGCAGAUGCUGAAUCUCACUCUGAAGGCAAGAGAAGAGCUGCCGAAGAGAGGACCGGCUGGAUUUGCUUGCAGUGGAGCUGCUUUUUUCCUCAUAUUGCUCAGUUCUUCACGCAUCAAUCUCCAAGAAGAAUUGAUGACAUUGUUUCCCCGCGUCAGGUUGGAAUAUUACGGCAGGAGUCACCCCGAAAUCGCCUUGAACCAGGAAAGUAUAAAGGGAAUGGAUUAUAUGCAGAUUGAGUGAAGGACAUCCUGUUCACAGAAAGUAAGUUCUGACCAGAAGCAGCUCUCCAUUGGGUUCUGAUUCUCAGAGACUUGGAGGAUUUUCACCGUUUUUUGCCUUUGCCGUGGAGCAGCACUGAGCUUACUUUGUGACGGCUCAUCUUGUGCACUAUGGGAGUUUGGAUAAUAUUUGAAGAGUGACUCUGAUGUGGAGCCGUCUAUCCAUUCUCCUGGAAAGAAGCAGAAAUGUUCUUCGCCUUUGUGCGUGAGUAGCCUGGGAGUAAGUGACCUGUGAACGGAGUCACACUGGGGAUUUUCCAAAGGACCUCCUUAACAUUCUAGGAACAUCGGACGGUACGAAGAACAGGAGAUAUAAGAGCAAAAGUAGAAGCAAAACCACCAAAAGAGGAGGGAGAAGAACAGAGCAUGGCUGAGAGGAUGAUUGCAUCUGAAAGUGGUAAGUCAUUUGGUGUGUG